GAGCUGUGCUGACGUCCCGCCUCUUGCAAGAUGAGAAGCGUCCGACAACUGCCUGCUACAGCUCCACCUCUGAGCGCCGUGCUUCCCGCUUCGAUCCAGAUGGGAGCGGGCGACCUACCACAUGGGAUACCUUUGGCAUCUGGGACAAUCGCAUUGAUGAACCUAUUCUCCUCCCCCCAAGCAUAAAGUAUGGGAAGCCAAUUCCAAAAGUAAGCCUAGCCAAUGUGGGCUGCAGUAGCCAUAUUGGGAAACGCAAGGAAAAUGAAGACCGGUUUCAUUAUGCGCAGCUGAGGGAAGAUGUCCUGUACUUUGCAGUAUAUGAUGGACAUGGUGGGGCAGCAGCAGCAGACUUCUGUGAUAAGUACAUGGAAAAAUAUAUUAAAGAAUUUCUUGCUGAGGAGGAGAACUUGGAAAAUGUUUUGAAUAAAGCUUUUCUAGAAAUAAACAAAGCAUAUGAAAGGCACGCUCAUCUGUCUGCCGAUGAAUCACAGGAGUAGCUGAGUGUGACAGGAUAAAAAGCAGUGAAGAGGAAACAAGGUUGGCUGUGGUAAGGCUGUGGUAAAGCUGGCACCAGACCUUUUAGACUCCUUAGUCCUGGCUGUUAAUCAGGUUCUUGUAUAUGUGUCUAGAGACAAAGCACAUCUGAAGUUCCAGUUCUAGCAACUGGAGCUUAUAGAGAGUAACUUAAGAAGGGAGAUUAGAGGUCCCCAUCCCAGUUCUGUCACAGGAGUUUCCUUAGACAUGGGAUACAAUUUUAAGGGUCAGUUUAGCCAGUCUUAAAAAACAAACAAACAAACAAAACCAAACCCAAACAAACCCAAUUUAAAAACCAACCAACCAAACAGAAACCCAAAACAACACUCCCCCUGAAAAAAACCCCAAAAAAACAAAACCAAACAAAAAACCCCAAACCAACAAAACCCAAACCAAAACCAAAGCCCAACAAACCACCAAAACCACAAACAAACUCCAAACCACAAACAAAACAAAACAUCCUGUCCCAGUGCUGGUGCAGGUGCUGGCAAAAUGACUGAGGUCAGUUUCAGAAGAACAGAAACUAUAGAAGUUUUCUCUCCAGGAAGGACUUGAAACCAACAACCAAUCUAGGAACUGAAGUGAUACUAUAUUGUCAAGCUACUUUUCUUAAGCAAUGAAUGAAUACACUCAAGUAAUGGAGUGGCUUCCUGCACUUUACCUGCUAGAUGAAUGUAUGUAGACUCAAAUAUUUUCUGGCAGGACCAGUAGCCUGACUCUUGCAGCGCUGUGAGGGAUAUGCAUCUUUCCUCUUACCUGGUACAAGAUAAGGUAUUGGGGAAAAAAGUCUUACAGCCCUAAAAAAGGGGAAUUAAAUCUAUAAAGCUCAUUCCCCAUUAUAUCCCUUUUUAUUUUAUACUGGAAUCCUUUUUCAAAAAAAUUAUGUGGCAAAGAAGUCCGGAGUCACUUUUAAUCUAUGGGGUGAGUUAAACUCAUGAGCUCAUCAGUAGAGCAGAUGUGCUUUUUAUCCAAGAGCCUCCUUGCAAAUACAUUUCCUAAAAGCCCAAUUUUAAGAAGACAUGUGAAUACAGUCUUACGUACUUCCCUGGACCAGCACCUUUCACUAACAUGAAGAUCUGUUAUAUUUGUUCCUCUCCCUGCCCCUUUGUUAGUAGGGCAGCUCUCGGUUUGGCUCAUUGAAGUGACCUCUGUUCAGUGUCAGAACAGCUCCUCGAGGAGAAGGAUUGGGAAUCGUACUUGGUAUAUUAUUCUGUUAUUCUGAAAAUGGUUUCCAAUUGUAGCAUUUCAUAUGUGAGACUUACAGAACUGGAUGACAUUAUCUGACAGUCAAGUUGUGCAACAAGCUGAGCAUUUUGGAACUGUUUAUAGUAUUUUUUUACAUUAACGAACUGGUACUGCUUAAUGAAAUACAAUGCAAAUGCCAGCAAAUUAUCAUUACAGUUACCAAGAUACUGGACAAACCCGACUCAUUAAAAUAGCUUGAGGUCAAGCAAAAUAGAGGGCAAAAGCAUUGCCAAACAUCCUCUGGGGCCCACACUCUGGCAAGCACUCAGUGUUUCUCAGGUAGGCUGAGCACCUGCAAGCUCUUGCAGGAGCCAGUGGGAUUUAAAAGAGCCCAGUGCUCUUGGUUGGUUGCCCAGCUGAAAAUCAAGCUGUAAAGCAGAGUGGAGUAACAGCGUGCAAAGACAAGUGUGGAUUUCUGAACAAAUAAAACUUUUUGCAUAUUUCUGGUUAAAAUAAUUCUAUAUUAUGUUGACUGCUUGGUGGGGAUAUUUUUGUUGUUGCUGCUGUUUUGAAAAUUACAUAAAAAUUCAAUGCUUGGCAUGUACCCUUGUUAGAAGCCUACUUCCAAACUGAUUCAGUUUGCCAGCAAAAUUUUGAAUAAUUGUGGCUAUUCUAGAUGUGACAGUCAAGAGUGUUGCUGAAGUAUCUUGAAAGUGGUGGCUGGCUGUGUAACACUGGGUAUCAGGGGUAUGCUGGGUGCUCCCCAUGACUGACCUCCUUAUGAAACCCGGCCAUAGCUGAUGAAGUGGAAAGUAAUAGCUUAGUCUUGUUCCAGUAGAUGACCCCACCAGGGUUCAUUCCUUUCACUCUAUCUGCAAAAAACCCCAGUGCAUGUUCAGGAUGUCCAGGUCUUUACUAACACAUGACCAGCCUUGAAAGUGUGUGCUUAGGUGUUUAAAGGAACGUAAGUCCUGGGACAAAUCCCUGUAGCCAAAAGUGCAUGGAUAUAGUUUGACACAUUGCCUAUAUUACUAUUUAAGGGAUAAAAACCUCAUAUAAUGGCAGAAAUUUAACAGGACUAGAGAUGUCCCUUGUUGGAGCACCUAGCUAUGUCUGGCAUGCAGUUCACUAGUGCUGUUGGAGUGCUGUACUUGUCCAGUAUCCCCUCUGACAGUGAUCUGUACCUGUUGUUUCACAAAAAAGCAUAAGAAACUUACUGGGAUAAUCUGUCCUCCACCUAAAUCCUUUCUAAUCAUUAACAGCUUAGAGAUAUGCCUGAGCCUUGAAAUAUGGUGUUUGAGAUCUCUUAAAAAACGUAUUUUCAUUCACUUCCACAUAUUUAAAUAUAUCCAGUCACUUUUAAAUCACUGCUAAAUUUAGGUCUAGGACACAGCAAAGGAAGCUGUCCAACAAAUAGGUCCUUAUCCAUGAGAGAACUGUUAACACAGAUGGACAGAAUUUUCUGAUAUUUUGGACCAGCUAUAAAACCUGAAUUGUAAAGGCUGAACAGCUUUGCUCAGCAAGGACAGAAAUAAGGAAGUGAACUGUGUGCUUCAGGAAAUUCGAGCAUCUAUCUGGAGAAUUAUAAGACAAACCCUCUCCUGGCCUAGUGCGGUCGUACAAGGUACUGCUGCUGCUUCUGUUCAUUGUGAUCCACUACUAGGAGAAAACAACAGGGAGUCUUUCCAUUGACCUCCACGUUGAGUUCAUCCAACUCUAAUCACAUUGGCCACUCACUUCUGGAAUAGCCAUCUUAUUAAAACAUAGCCAGGUAUUAACUGGAGUAUCUAUGUUUGAAAGGCACUCCUGGAAUCUUACUGUGCUGAGCAAGCAGCAAAAGUUGUUUAAAAACAACUAAAUUUAAAAAGUAGUGGGGUUUGGUAUUGUGGUUUUUUAAGUUACCAUUCAAACAUGAUUUUUAUUUCUUUGAAUAUGUUAACCUGCAACACUGAGGAAAAGGGAGAGAUGCGGAAAUUUUACCUGAAUGUAUCAUAAAGCUAUCAACAUUACAAAGGCAGCCUUUUUAUCCUUUUAAUCCUGAUUAUUACCUGAUCAAAUUAGAAGAUACUAAUUACACAAUUAAAGAGUGUUUAUUUUGCAUAUUUUCCCAUGGGCCAGAACAAUUAGUAUACUUCUAUUCCAUGCCUUUAAGAUGGCCCCAUUUUAGUUGGCAUUGGUUUGAAUUCCCCAUUUUUGUGUUAUAUGUAAAUACAUAUAUACAAAAAUACAUAAAUAACCUUGAGGAAACAGAUUGGGCCGUAUUCUGUACUGAAGAUGUUCAGAGUGGCCACUUUUGCCAUAUAGGAGACAGCUGGCCCUCUAGCACUGAUAAAAUUCUUUGGUUGAUUUGUGGGUUGGUUACUUACUUCCACAGAAAAAAAUAACCAAAAGUAGCUUUUAUUUGACUGAAUUUAAACUGGUUUUGCCAUACAGUUUUAGCAAAAAGGCAAGAAUGGUAUUAAUUCCCCAGAAAUACCAAGACUGAUUUAUCUGUAGCAAAAGAUGCAUGUGCAAGCCUCAGGUACUUAUAAAUGACUUGCAAAAGAGUGCAGGCAAACUCAAGAGUGACUACAUCUCCUGUUCUGCAGCUCUUAUUCUUUCAUCUCCAGUGUUGCAGGUUUAUUUUGUUUGAACAAAGUCCCUGGGUGAAUUUCCUAUUUGCCUCUGUGUGCGUGUUAUUUGUGGCAGACACUACCUGGUCAGCAGCUCUAGAACUGGAGGCCCUCGACACUAUAUGCUGGGCUUCAGUGGAAAGAGAGAUCUGCUUAAUUUUGUCCCAGGUGAAGGAGUCCAGCGGUUCCUAGCCUGGACUACUGGAAGGUUCCCACAUCCUCUUUGUCACAUUAGUUGAGAUGACUUGCAGUAGAAGUUGUCCACAACUCUGAUGAACUCUGGGACCACUGCAACAGUGGCUCUGCUCCGGGAUGGUAUCGAGCUGGUUGUGGCAAGUGUGGGAGACAGUCGUGCUCUGCUGUGUCGAAAGGGGAAGGCCAUGAAACUCACCACUGACCAUACUCCAGAAAGAAAAGAAGAGAAGGAAAGGAUUAGGAAGUGCGGUGGCUUCAUUACCUGGAACAGUGUGGGACAACCUCAUGUGAAUGGUAGACUUGCAAUGACACGGAGCAUAGGAGAUUUGGAUCUUAAAAACAGUGGUGUGAUAGCCCAGCCAGAAACAAAAAGGGUUCAGUUGCAGCAUGCCGAUGACAGCUUCCUCGUCCUCACUACAGAUGGUAUUAACUUCAUGGUGAACAGUCAGGAGAUCUGUGACUUCAUUAGCCAGUGCCAUGGUCCCGCUGAAGCUGCCCACGUUGUUACUGAGCAGGCAAUACAGUUUGGCACUGAAGACAACAGCACAGUAGUCAUAGUGCCAUUUGGAGCAUGGGGGAAGUACAAAAAUGGCGAGAUCAACUUCUCCUUCAGCCGCAGUUUUGCUUCCAGCGGGAGGUGGGCAUGAAGACCUGCCACAGCUAUCUUUUCCUGCCAUAAUCUGGACACAGCGUGCUACAGGAGAAAACAUCCAUCUGUUCAUAGGUUGACUCGGUGUCUUGUCCAUCUCUUCUGUUCCCAGUGUUAUAGAAGAUGCUACUACUCCGUUGGUGUGUAAUGACCCAUUGUUGCUCAUGGCUGAUCACAUUUUGCUGCAGUUAUUUAUUCCAGUCAGUAUUGGGGCAGCUAUUUCUUUGGGUUUGUAGUCCCAGUAGCUCUGCACGUCACUUUAUUCACAUAAGUGAGGCUCUGGGCUUUCACCUAAGGCUGGAGAUGCACAAUUGUUUCAUACCUACUUGUAUUACCCAGGACCCUUAGUUACCUUGUAGCUAUGUCUGAGUCUGAGCCACAUGCUGGCUUCUUUGUAUGUUAAUACAUGGGGGAACAAACGCACACAGUUCGUAGUUAGACAAAAAGCAGGUUUGUUGUCUUCCUCUGUUGUGCAGCCAUCUGAAACUCCCCUGUGCUUCAGAAGCAGGUGAAAAAUAAGGGAGAAGUGUUUAGGUUCUCAUGCCAGUGGCAUUUGGUGUAGCUGAACUUUCUGAGAGAGUGCUGCUUUGCAGGGCUUUAUUGCUCUCACCAUUAUCAUCUGUGAUCCUCUGGCUCCAAGGAGACGGAGAGGGCUGGAGUCACAUGCCAUUGCACAGAGGGGAAUGUUUCUCCAUUGGGUCCAAAGCCUGUAUGGUAUCUGUGGACCACACAGCAGCCCCUUGCACUGUCUUCUCUUUGGUGUGCCAGUGCUUGACAGGAGCACAGAGAAGGGAAUAGGCUGCUUGUUUUUGACAGCCGAGUCUCUCAUCAACUUGAACUCUUUUUUUAUCUUUUCUUUUUUUUAAUCUCUCUUUUUUUUUUUUUUUUAAAGAAAGAAAAUCAGCUGAUUUCAAAGAAUUUACUAAUCAUAGUUCUUUGGAUGUAUAAGAAGAGAUUAUUUCUUCAUAAAUAUAUGAGGAUUUUCUUGCCCUCCACUGAAGGUUCUUUCUGUUAGUCGUGACCUCCUGUGUCUCUUUGUGGUAUACAGGAAACUGUAAAAUGCCAAAAGCAAGUAAGCUAGAAGAAGGACAGAGCAUUAUAAUAACAUAAGGUAAUUUUUAUAAGUUUUGGGUAUUGUUUCUAGUAUGUGUCAGAUAUUCAGACACCAGAAUGUAGUUUUAUACUUAAAGGAAGCGUUUCUGCUCCCCUCUCUGGAGGGAGCCUGCGUCCAGUGAGGCAUGGCAGGGGCAGCACUCUGAGCCAGCUUGUAUCACUGCUGUGACACAGACUGCAGGUGAUGUGUAGACAGCAGGUGAAGAUCUGUUCCACAGCGUGCCUCGUUCAGACCUCCUUCCUCUGCUCCACAUCAGGCGUGCAGCUCCUCUGGCCUCUGAGUCACCACGUUGCAAUGAAAUAUGGGCAGAUAACAAUUGGUCUCUGCUCAGGCUUGUCACAAUAUUUUUCAUUCUGUGGAUGUUUUCAACAGCACAGUUGUAAAAACCAACAAAACAAGUGAAAAAGAAGCUGCCUGAUAGAAAUAACCUUGCAGUAAGGAAAAAUAUUUGAGAGGCCUGGCCUGAUUCUCAUUUUCCAGUGUGAAGUGUCUUCAUCACUUUCAGCCCUUUCCUUUUAUUUUAGCCCAAGAUUACAGCCUAGGCAGUCAUUCCACAUGUUUUUCCUUGCCUCUGGCAGAAGGCCCAGGAGCACCCAGCAGGCAGUGUUGUACUGACAGCAGUAAGUACCAGUGUUCAGAGAGUAUGCUGGUUUUGUCGCAUCGCUUGGUAUAUACAAUGCGUAUGUUUGGUUUAUAAGUACAAAGAGCUCGUGAGCUGGUAUAUGUAAAUCUCUAUUGUAUUGGAUGCUGUUGCCCAGGCCUCUGUAACAAGAACAUCACUGGUUUAUGAUAAUAAUCCCUUCUCUAUCCACAGAUUUUCCCCAGGGUUGGGGUUAGUUGAAGAUGUCCGUGCUCACUGCAGGGGGUUUGGACUAGUGGCCUUUGGAGGUCCCUUCCAACCCAAACCAUUCUAUGAUGCACCCGAGAUCAGAAUGUUUGCUGGGUGCAGUGCUGGCCUCAUCCUUGCUUACCUGAGGCAGAGGGGCACUUUUAGUUGUUACCAGCCAAAGCAGGUUCUUCUUGGUCUGCGGCAAGUUUGAAGAUUCCCCCAACCCUUUUGUGGCAAAAAUGGCAAAACACAGCUGAAAAGCCUUUCUCCUGCCAAAAACGUGACCUGCUAAAACAGUGAGUCCAAUAGUUGGUAGUAAAGGGUUAACCACAGCACAAAGCAGUUUUACUCCAGCCACAGAGAAGAGUUAGAGUCAAGCUCUGGAGAUGGAGUUGCUGUGGGGGUGGCUUUGGUAUUAAGCAUUAGACAGGCUUGAGUAGUGCUGCAGGAAUUUGGACAAGCUCCAUGGGCCCUGUCCUGUUCCAAAUGCUGCUCAUUUCUGUUCCCUGGCUAGCCAUCUAUCCAGACAGAAAAUAGCAAGGGUGCUGGGGGUGUUUGUGACAAGCACUAAUUUUUUUGGAGUGCUGCUGGAUACUUGCCAAGUUGGAGACAUGGUAUUAAAUGUUGCUAGUGAAAAACACUGCAAAUGAAGAGCAGGUGCUCUGAGCAAUGACCGGGCAGUUAGAGCAGCUUCUACACAUUGACCCAGAUGUAACGUGAAAGAGUUGUUUCUUCAUUGAAGGUUUGGGGCACUUUUUGUUUUGUCCCUAUCUGGUUGCCUGAUUGCAAAGAGAACAAAGUGGUUGGAGGCUUUUAUUUCUUCUAAGAUAGUAGUUAUCCUCUCAGAGGAAGAAUCCAUCCAUAACUUUGCAAAAUAGAUGUUGGAGCUAGAUGAUCUUAAGUUUCUUUCCAACCAUAACCAUUCGAUGAUUCUAUGAUUAGAUAAAGAUGUAUUGGUGGUUGCUGUUACUGUCUUUAUAUGAUCAUCGAAAAACUCAGAUUGGAACGGACUUGUGGGUAUCAUUUAGCCUUGCCUCCUGCUCAAAGCAGGGCUAACUUUAGCAUUGCCUACUGCUGUGAAGGGAUGUCUCCCAAUAUGGAAAUGCAGUGCCUGAAAAAGUAUAUGAGAAAGAAUUCAGCAUGCAAUGCAGUUUACCUGUGGAACCAUUUGACUGUACUGAAUUUGAACACUUACCAGUAUUUAACAGGCACUUUGUAUAGGUACCAAGAAAUUUCACAAAUAAAUUAGCACAUACAGAAACCCAAGAUAUGAGCCAUUUUGCUCUAAGUAAAAGUGAAUAAUACUACUGACAGGGUUUUCUUCUAUCUAGUCAAUAAGCUUCAUGCUGCCUACAGCAGCUCUGCAAGUAACCAGCUUUACACCCCAGGGACCAGCAUGGUUCUCUAGCGUAGCAGAGAGCUCCUUUCAAAUUUUGAGGGCAAAGAGCAAAAUGUCGUAACAGCAGCAGCUGCCUAUCAGAGACGGUUUUUACUGAAGGAUCAUUAGAGGUAUCUUACACUUGAAUGAAACAAAGCAGACUCUCAGUUUGCUCUCUAGCUCCCUGUCUUGCCCUUGCAUCUGUUGUUUUCACAAGAAGAAUGGUAUUUUUUAUUAUAGACUGAACUGAACACUAAGGGGAACCUACUGAGCAAACCAUAACAAAUGUUUGCUUCUUUUCCUACCUUUUAGAGAUUGAUUCUGAACUCCACUGGACCCGGUAACAGUAUUUUCUUGCCUGAACAGUGGUAUAUCUGAAGGUACAGGCACUGCAGGAGGGUGGCUGUGGGUGCAGAAAGGAUGCUUACAUAGGAUCAGGAUGUCAGAUCACCUUUUCUGUCCCAGCAGGUAGAUGUAGCGUGGUCAAAGGCAUUGGGGUUUCUAGCUAAGGGAGAAGCACAAAACAACAGAUACCAGUAAAACUAAUUUAACAUUAUUUUUUUCUUGAAUAAUUCAGUUGGGCACUGCUAGGCCCAUUUGGUCACUUUCACAACAAGCCAAAUGUAUGGCAUAGCAACACUGGGUAUUCAUUGGUUCCAAAGCUGCUGUUCUCAAUGCAGAGAUACCCAGCGGGUGUGCUCUUGAUCCAGGAUAUCGAGUGCUUGGGCAGCAGCAUGUGUCAACUUUCUACAGACUUAAGUGCAAUUGCGUACAUUCAUUACAUAGUUAGCCUUAGGACUGUGUAUAAUUCCUGUGGUUUGAUGUUUAUGUUUGGUGCAAUCAGUGUCCAUAAUUCAUCUACUUAAUUUUAUAGAGGUGUCCAAUUUGCCUUUUUUUUUUUAAUUAAUGUUUGUUCAUCAACUCAAAGCCACAGUGGAGCAGAUAAGUCUGUACUGGAAGGAACGCUUAAAAGAUCUUUUAAUAAAGAAUUGGCUUCUAGACUUGUAUCACUA